GCCCUCGUAGUUUAACGGACAAAAUGCGAGCUUCCGGAGCUUGUGAUAGGGGUUCAAUUCCUCUCGAGGGCA
rnacentral:tRNA from 1 species